UACGUAGGGGGCUAGCGUUGUCCGGAAUUAUUGGGCGUAAAGAGCGUGUAGGCGGUCUGGUAAGUCGGCUGUGAAAGUCCAGGGCUCAACCCUGGGAUGCCGGUCGAUACUGCCGGACUAGAGUUCGGAAGAGGCGAGUGGAAUUCCCGGUGUAGCGGUGAAAUGCGCAGAUAUCGGGAGGAACACCUAUGGCGAAGGCAGCUCGCUGGGACGUUACUGACGCUGAGGCGCGAAAGCGUGGGGAGCGAACAGG
rnacentral:rRNA from 1 species